AGCGAACGCUGGCGGCAGGCUUAACACGUGCAAGUCGAGCGGGCAUCCUUGUGGUGUCAGCGGCAGACGGGUGAGUAACGCGUGGGAACGUGCCCUUCGGUUCGGAAUAACUCAGGGAAACUUGAGCUAAUACCGGAUACGUGCGAGAGCAGAAAGGUUUAUCUGCCGAAGGAUCGGCCCGCGUCUGAUUAGCUAGUUGGUGAGGUUAUGGCUCACCAAGGCGACGAUCAGUAGCUGGUCUGAGAGGAUGAUCAGCCACACUGGGACUGAGACACGGCCCAGACUCCUACGGGAGGCAGCAGUGGGGAAUAUUGGACAAUGGGGGCAACCCUGAUCCAGCCAUGCCGCGUGAGUGAUGACGGCCUUAGGGUUGUAAAGCUCUUUUCUUCGGGACGAUAAUGACGGUACCGGAGGAAUAAGCCCCGGCUAACUUCGUG
rnacentral:rRNA from 1 species